UGGAAUAUGCAGAGUUUGUGAAGUAUAAUAAAAAGUAAAAGUUAGAAUUGAAGGAAGCAUAAACAUGGGUUCUGAGUGUAAUAGAUGGAUGAUUUUGUGGUUUGUGAUUGCUAUUUCGUUCUCAGGCAUGAUGCAGAGAGCAGUAGCAGCACGACAUCUCAUGCAGACUUCUAUUCUGCCACCACUACUCCCACCACUACUCCCACAGCUGCCACCAUUCCCACAGCUGCCACCAC
rnacentral:lncRNA from 1 species